GUCUUUUAUAUGCACUUCAAAAACUCAUUAAUAAUUCAUGAAGCAAUUAUCCAAUCUUGAGUAAGAAAUUAGUCAUGUGCAUACGUCUUUAUACCAGCUAAAGAACACUUUAACAAAACACCAUUGUUAUGCAAACUAUAUAAAGAUUUUUAUAUAAAGAUUUUUAUAAAGAUUUUUAUAUAAAGAUUUGACUUAUUAUGCAAAUGUUUUUGAAGUCAUUUAAAAAACUCGCAGGUCGUGUUUUAUUAGGUCUAAAGCCACUCGCGCUGCGCGCUCGUGGCUUUAAACCUAAUAAAACACUCCUGCUCGUUUUUUAAAUAGUACUUAAAAC
rnacentral:lncRNA from 1 species